UUCCUGGAGGACUAGUGGUUAGGCCACAGCGCUAUUACUGCCAUGGCCUGGGUUCGAUGCCCGGCCAGGGAA